CCUACGGGAGGCAGCAGUGAGGAAUAUUGGUCAAUGGGCGAGAGCCUGAACCAGCCAAGUCGCGUGAGGGAAGACGGUCCUAUGGAUUGUAAACCUCUUUAGGCGGGGAGCAAUGCCGAGCACGCGUGCCCGGAGGGAGAGUACCCGCCGAAUAAGCAUCGGCUAACACCGUGCAAGCAGCCGCGGUAGUACGGAGGAUGCGAGCGUUAUCCGGAUUUAUUGGGUUUACAGGGUGCGCAGGCGGAUUUUAAAGUCAGCGGUAAAAUGUCCGGGCUCAACCCGGGCCGGCCGUUGAAACUGGGGAUCUUGAGUGGGCGAGAAGUAUGCGGAAUGCGUGGUGUAGCGGUGAAAUGCAUAGAUAUCACGCAGAGCUCCGAUUGCGAAGGCAGCAUACCGGCGCCCGACUGACGCUGAGGCACGAAAGCGUGGGUAUCGAACAGGAGUAGAUACCCUAGUAGUC
rnacentral:rRNA from 1 species